AUGGACGUGCUGGAGCACCACGACGUGCUGGCCGACAUCCUCCGCCAUCUGCCGCCCCGCAGCCUGGCCGCCUGCCGCUGCGUGUGCGCAGCCUGGCGCGCCGCCGUCGACGACCACCGCCUGCUGCGCGCCGACCUGCUCCCCCUCUCGCUCGACGGCAUCAUCUACCAGACCCAAGAUUCGUUCAUCACCAAGAACUUCUCCCGCACUUCCAUGGCCGACCGCGUCGCCGCCGCCUUCCGUGGCCUCGACGACAACUUGCCUGAACUUAUGGACUGCCGCAACGGCCUCCUCCUAUUCUGGCACUAUGUCCUAAACCCUGCCACGCGGCAGGUGGCGCAGCUGCCCCCGCAGCCGCGCCCCUGCGAGGCAAUGGACUGUACUCGUUGCUGGGAUGAUCACUACCUCAUCUACGACCCUACCGUGUCGCCACACUUCGAAGUGAUCUUGGUGCCAUACCCUCACCACGAGAUUCCGGUGGGUCAUAUCUCCAGGCAUAUGUGCGGGCAUGGAUCAGUCGUUUCUGCAAUGGAAUGGCCACCUUCACCCUACAUCAUGCAUGUCUUCUCCUCAAGGACCGGGAGCUGGGAGAAGAGGUCAUUCCGGCGACAGGGAGAGGCCGCCGGAGCACUCGCCGACGUCAAAAUCAAACUGCCAAAUCUCGUAUGCUUUUUAUACCACGUCGCCUAUUGGCGGGAGGCACUCUAUGUUCGUUGUGGAGCCGGCUUUAUUAUGAGGAUAGAUUUGCGGAAUGACAUGUAUCAAGUUAUUGAGUUGCCAAAUGGAAAAGAAGGAACACCUCGUCUAGGAAAAUCAAAGAACGGUGUGUAUUGCGCAUUGCGCCACGGACGAUGCACAUUUGAGGUUUGGUUCCUGGAUGAAUCACAUGGUCGGAUGGAGUGGGUGUUCAAGAAUAAGGUCAACCUUGAGCCUAUAAGAGGAGAUUUUCGCAAGAAUCAUACCGACGAACAAUGGAUAGAAAAAUCAUGUGCUCCACUAAAGCGGGAUGAGUCAAAGACUGACAUCAACCUUGAGCGCGUAGAUGACAACAACCAAGCACCGGUGGAAGAUGCUUAUGAUUGGAGCUCCGACAACGAAAAUGCUAUUGACACCGUAGAAUGGCCCGGAGGUAGCAGCUUCAAUGCCUACGUUGGUCCUGCUUUUGAGUGUCUUGGAUUUCACCCCUACAAAGAAAUCGUCUUGUUCAAUAACAGUGAGAGAACACUCGCCUAUCAUUUCAAAAGCUCAAAGGUUCGGCAUUUGGGCAAGAUGGAAGUCAAUCACCUGCGUAUGGGAGUGGAAGAGUCUUUUCCAUACGCUCCAUGUUGGGUGAGGAACUUACCUGGAAGUAGUUAA
rnacentral:rRNA from 1 species